rnacentral:sRNA from 1 species
AGGGACAGAGUUCCCACCGUGCUACUGGAG